UACGUAGGGUGCAAGCGUUGUCCGGAAUUAUUGGGCGUAAAGAGCGUGUAGGCGGCUCGAUUAGUCCGCUGUGAAAGUCCAGGGCUCAACCCUGGAAUGCCGGUGGAUACUGUCGAGCUAGAGUCCGGAAGGGGCGAGUGGAAUUCCUGGUGUAGCGGUGAAAUGCGCAGAUAUCAGGAAGAACACCCGUGGCUAAGGCGGCUCUCUAGUACGGUACUGACGCUGAGACGCGAAAGCGUGGGGAGCGAACAGG
rnacentral:rRNA from 1 species